GAUGAACGCUGGCGGCGUGCCUAAUACAUGCAAGUCGAGCGAAUGGAUUAAGAGCUUGCUCUUAUGAAGUUAGCGGCGGACGGGUGAGUAACACGUGGGUAACCUGCCCAUAAGACUGGGAUAACUCCGGGAAACCGGGGCUAAUACCGGAUAACAUUUUGAACCGCAUGGUUCGAAAUUGAAAGGCGGCUUCGGCUGUCACUUAUGGAUGGACCCGCGCCGCAUUAGCUAGUUGGUGAGGUAACGGCUCACCAAGGCAACGAUGCGUAGCCGACCUGAGAGGGUGAUCGGCCACAAUGGGACUGAGACACGGCCCAGACUCCUACGGGAGGCAGCAGUAGGGAAUCUUCCGCAAUGGACGAAAGUCUGACGGAGCAACGCCGCGUGAGUGAUGAAGGCUUUCGGGUCGUAAAACUCUGUUGUUAGGGAAGAACAAGUGCUAGUUGAAUAAGCUGGCACCUUGACGGUACCUAACCAGAAAGCCACGGCUAACUACGUGCCAGCCGCCGCCGUAA
rnacentral:rRNA from 1 species